rnacentral:rRNA from 1 species
AGUGAACGCUGCGGGCGUGCUUAACACAUGCAAGUCGAACGAGAACGGGAUAUAGCUUGCUAUAUUUGUCAGCUAAGUGGCGCACGGGUGAGUAAUGUAUAGGUAAUAUGCCUCUUACUAAGGGAUAACAAUUGGAAACGAUUGCUAAUACCUUAUAUGCCUUUAAGACUAAAGUCUGCAAGGGAAAGAUUUAUUGGUAAGAGAUUAGCCUGUAUUGUAUCAGCUAGUUGGUGAGGUAAUGGCUCACCAAGGCUAUGACGCAUAACUGGUUUGAGAGGAUGAUCAGUCACACUGGAACUGAGACACGGUCCAGACUCCUACGGGAGGCAGCAGUGGGGAAUAUUGCACAAUGGACGAAAGUCUGAUGCAGCAACGCCGCGUGGAGGAUGACACAUUUCGGUGCGUAAACUCCUUUUAUAUAGGAAGAUAAUGACGGUACUAUAUGAAUAAGCACCGGCUAACUCCGUG